CAACAAUCCAUUAGAUAUGCUGGGUACAGCGCUGCUGGGCAAACGUGCCACCAAGUCUGUCAAGAAGAAACCAUUCACAGAAGUCGAAA
rnacentral:sRNA from 1 species